rnacentral:lncRNA from 1 species
GGAACAUCCAAAUUGCCAUGGUUUCCACAGAAAAUGUGCUCAGACUCCCUGAAAGCAUUUUCUGUGGUGGACAUUUUCAGUGAGUGUAUUCUUUUUGAAGUUAUCGAGCAUUCUAGUUGUCAGAUGUCUCUCCUGAAAUGCCUAGUCAGUGUCCCAGUGCUGUAGAGAAAGCGACCCUGGAUUUUGCCUGUUGACCAAAUUUAUUGCCUUGGCUUGAUUUUACAAACCUGAGUUGU